CUUAACACAUGCAAGUCGAACGGAAAGGCCCUGCUUUUGUGGGGUGCUCGAGUGGCGAACGGGUGAGUAACACGUGAGUAACCUGCCCUUGACUUUGGGAUAACUUCAGGAAACUGGGGCUAAUACCGGAUAGGAGCUCCUGCUGCAUGGUGGGGGUUGGAAAGUUUCGGCGGUUGGGGAUGGACUCGCGGCUUAUCAGCUUGUUGGUGGGGUAGUGGCUUACCAAGGCUUUGACGGGUAGCCGGCCUGAGAGGGUGACCGGCCACAUUGGGACUGAGAUACGGCCCAGACUCCUACGGGAGGCAGCAGUGGGGAAUAUUGCACAAUGGGCGGAAGCCUGAUGCAGCAACGCCGCGUGCGGGAUGACGGCCUUCGGGUUGUAAACCGCUUUCGCCUGUGACGAAGCGUGAGUGACGGUAAUGGGUAAAGAAGCACCGGCUAACUCG
rnacentral:rRNA from 1 species